GGGGUAGGACGGGUGUGGUGGUAAAUGUUCUAGGUUUUGCAGUUUGACAAUAAAAUAAGUUUCAAGAUAGGACUAUCAUGCAAGAGAACUAGAACAUAAUUAGAUAAACAAGCCCAAAAGAAAGAAGAACCUGUUACCUGUGGCGAAUGCAGUCAACUGGAAGCGUCCGUUGUAGAGUCUUGAACACAAAGUUGGCGCU
rnacentral:lncRNA from 1 species